rnacentral:snoRNA from 1 species
GGCUUCCUGGUGCUUAUCACAGGCUGUGUUCUUACACUGUAAAGACAAAGAGGAGGAAAAGGAAACCUACCCUAUAUUCACUUCAACACAGGCUCUGUGCCUAGUCUGUAGUGUGAAUGGGAAGACAUGG